rnacentral:rRNA from 1 species
AGUGAACGCUGGCGGUAGGCCUAACACAUGCAAGUCGAACGGCAGCACAGUAAGAGCUUGCUCUUACGGGUGGCGAGUGGCGGACGGGUGAGGAAUACAUCGGAAUCUACUUUUUCGUGGGGGAUAACGUAGGGAAACUUACGCUAAUACCGCAUACGACCUACGGGUGAAAGCAGGGGAUCUUCGGACCUUGCGCGAUUGAAUGAGCCGAUGUCGGAUUAGCUAGUUGGCGGGGUAAAGGCCCACCAAGGCGACGAUCCGUAGCUGGUCUGAGAGGAUGAUCAGCCACACUGGAACUGAGACACGGUCCAGACUCCUACGGGAGGCAGCAGUGGGGAAUAUUGGACAAUGGGCGCAAGCCUGAUCCAGCCAUACCGCGUGGGUGAAGAAGGCCUUCGGGUUGUAAAGCCCUUUUGUUGGGAAAGAAAUCCAGCCGGCUAAUAUCUGGUUGGGAUGACGGUACCCAAAGAAUAAGCACCGGCUAACUUCGUG